rnacentral:lncRNA from 1 species
AAAAACCAGGAAGAGAGAGAGAGGGCGGGAAGGAUCUAUGAACCAUAGAGAAAGAGACAAUCUACAUUGGCUGGAUUUACCGUGUACGAGCUGGACUGUUUUGGACUUACCUGUUGGCGUUUAGACCUGGACCUACCGAGAACCAGAUUUUUGUACCGAACCCUGCUAUCCUUGACCUUACCUGCGGCCUGGGUGGACCAGGACAGCGAAACAAACACACAGGUCUCAGAUGGGAAGCUCCGCAUGGCUCGUUUAGGCUGCUCAAGGAAAACUGGGAAAACUCUUAAAGGUACAAUGUUUUCAUAAUAACGUCAUCUAUUAACCUUUAACAACAAGACAAAAAUUACAUACAUUUUCAUAUUCCAUCUAUCUGAGCACACAUGACACAGAGAGGUGUUUCUGGGACCACAUAUUUUCUUUCAAGGUAGUAUUUUAGCAAUAUGCUAUGUUUAGGCCUAUUUACAUCUUUAUUUCUAUUAUUUUACCUAAUGUUGUCUAUUAGGCUGAUUUACAUUUUUUUCUCUCAAAAUGCAG